CCUACGGGUGGCAGCAGUGGGGAAUAUUGGGCAAUGGGCGCAAGCCUGACCCAGCAACGCCGCGUGAAGGAAGAAGGCUUUCGGGUUGUAAACUUCUUUUAUAAGGGACGAGGAGAGUGCGGGUCCCUGAGGACUAAGCAACGGCUAACUACGUGCCGGAAGCGGCGGUAAUCCGUGGGUGGCAGGGGUUAUCCGGAUUUACUGGGGGUAAAGGGCGUGUAGGCGGGACGGCAAGUCAGAUGUGAAAUCCACGGGCUCAACCUACGGCCUGCAUUUGAAACUGUAUUUCUUGAGUACUGGAGAGGCAGACGGAAUUCCUUGUGUAGCGGUGAAAUGCGUAGAUAUUAGGAGGAACACCAGUGGCGAAGGCGGUCUGCUGGACAGCAACUGACGCUGAGGCGCGAAAGCGUGGGGAGCAAACAGGAUUAGAUACCCCUGUAGUC
rnacentral:rRNA from 1 species